rnacentral:rRNA from 1 species
UGAGAUACCACCACUCUUACUGUUGCCUUACUUACAUGAUCAGGUGGAACAAGUGCCAAGGUUAUUGCAACCUCCCGGCAUAAGGUUUCUUGUUCAGCGUUCAGUCAUGUCGUCAUUCCUGGCCAUAAUGCAGAAGACCGAGCCUGUGGUCAUCGCGACCCGUCGCGCGGCUCCGGGCGUGCGAUCCGAACCGGGGUCCGGUUUCAUCGCCGCGGCCCCGCAGUAGGGUCCCGCCCUCCGGGCCCGCACGGUCCGCACGGCCCCAGCUUUGCUCAACGUUCACACAGUACGCCGAUGACAGUAAGACAUCUGGAUACUCCAAGUCAUGGACAGUGCCAGGUGCGGAGUUUGACUGGGGCGGUACAUCUCCAAAACAAUAACGGAGGUGUCCAAAGGUCAGCUCAGUGUGGACAGAAA